CCUACUGGAGACUGCAGUGGGGAAUAUUGGGCAAUGGGCGCAAGCCUGACCCAGCAACGCCGCGUGAAGGAAGAAGGCUUUCGGGUUGUAAACUUCUUUUCUCAGGGACGAAGCAAGUGACGGUACCUGAGGAAUAAGCCACGGCUAACUACGUGCCAGCAGCCGCGGAAAUACGUAGGUGGCAAGCGUUAUCCGGAUUUACUGGGUGUAAAGGGCUUGUAGGCGGGACUGCAAGUCAGAUGUUAAAACCAUGGGCUCAACCUAUGGCCUGCAUUUGACACUGUAGUUAUUGAGUACUGGAGAGGCAGAGGGAAUUCCUAGUGGAGCGGUGAAAGGCGUAGAUAUUAGGAGGAACACCAGUGGCGAAGGCGGUCUGCUGGACAGCAACUGACGCUGAGGCGCGAAAGCGUGGGGAGCAAACAGGAUUAGAUACCCUUGUAGUC
rnacentral:rRNA from 1 species